rnacentral:rRNA from 1 species
GACGAACGCUGGCGGCGUGCUUAACACAUGCAAGUCGAACGGAAAGACCCUGCUUUUGUGGGGUGCUCGAGUGGCGAACGGGUGAGUAACACGUGAGUAACCUGCCCUUGACUUUGGGAUAACUUCAGGAAACUGGGGCUAAUACCGGAUAGGAGCUCCUGCUGCAUGGUGGGGGUUGGAAAGUUUCGGCGGUUGGGGAUGGACUCGCGGCUUAUCAGCUUGUUGGUGGGGUAGUGGCUUACCAAGGCUUUGACGGGUAGCCGGCCUGAGAGGGUGACCGGCAAUAUGGGGAGUGAGAGACGGCCCAGACUCCGACGGGGGGAAGAGGGGGGGAAUUUUGAACAAGGGGCGGGAGCCGGAGGCAGCAACGCCGGGGGGGGGAGGACGGCCUUGGGGUUGAAACCCGCUUGCGCCUGUAACGAAGCGUGAGGGAGGGUAAGGGGUAAAAAAGACCGGGCAAAUUAGGGG